rnacentral:lncRNA from 1 species
GAGAGAGAGGGAGAGAGAGAGAGAGAGAAAGAGAGAGGCGGAGGCAUUUUUCUCAAGAUUGAUUGCUCUACAUCUCCAGACUUGGUUGCAACUUCGGCAUCACCUGUGUUAGUUCAUCUACCCACAAUUCCACCUGCUAAAAGUGGGGAGUCUUCCUCUCCUCACUCCUACUGGAGUCUUCCCCCUUUGCUAAACAUCCUGAACUCGACCUACAAGGUGCCCUCUUCGUCCUACGAACUAGCAGCUCUCUCAGUCUCUCCCUCUCUCUCUCAGUCUGUGUUCAGCCUCCACUGUGAGGCUGGGAGCGAGGGAGAGAGACCAGAGGAGGGAGAGAGACCAGAGGAGGGUGGAAACUGCUUCACUGCUCUCUCUCCUGACCAUCUGUUCAGCUCACCAGCACCCCCUCCAGUGCACUGGGCUCUCUUGACCAGGCGACUGGUCUCUCUCUUGACCCAGUCUUCGUAUCUCUCUACUGGUCUCUCUAGUGAUCUCUCCACUGAUCUCUCUGGCCAAAACAUUUACACCGUGUAGUGCAGAGUUGGUGCUGACUCCUCCCAGAAUGCACUUCACUGUUGUUAAAUGCUUCUAACGGCCCGUUUUACCCCCCCCCCCCCCACACACACACACCCCCGCUUGCCCUUCUCUGAAAACACAAACCAGAACAAAAUUACAUUUGAGAAUUUAUUUGUUUUGGUUUUCUUUUUUUUUCAAACUGAAAGGCCAUAACUUUUCAAGACAUACAAAAAGUCGGUACAUUUUGUUUCUGAAUGAUCUCUCUCUCUCUCUCUCUCUCUCUCUCUCUCUCUUUAAGUAGUCAGUGUUUACUUGAGCGACACAAAUGUUCUCUGGACGGUUCACAUACAGUUGCUGGUGAUAAAGGGGAGCGCACAGAUUGGCGGAGAUGUGACGGUCUGCCUGACCUUCAAAAGCACUUGGGGUCACAAAGACGUAGCAGUCAGCAGUCAGCAGACAUCAGGGCACAGUAACAUGGCGGUCAUCUACACUGGGUUUGUGGAUGGCUAUGGCAGCAGGUAGACAUACUGUAUGUACGCUAAUAAACAUAGCAUGCAUUAGCA